rnacentral:lncRNA from 1 species
UUGCAAGUGGUGACAAAUGUUAGUACUACCCUACUACUUCACAUGAGGUACAAAGUGGCGGUUGUGGUUUACCGGAGAGUUGAGACGCCUCGUCGGCGGUAAGCAAGGCGGCGAAGCCAUUGAUGCUAUGCUUAUAGCUAUAAAGGAGGGAUGAUCUUGCUCCCUCUUCAAACUUUUUGAUUGAAAAUAGAUGAUGAUGAUGAUUGUUCUACGGUUGUUUCCAGUGUCAUUGUUUCAAUAUCGUUUAAGAUGAUGAUGAUGUAGAACCCGUAGUAGUUCUUACUAAACGCAAGAAAGGAUCUGCUACUGCUGUAAGAUAAGAUUUUAUCUUACUAGAGUAAUGGUCUUUCCUGCCUUUUUUGUAUUAAAAGAAGCAUAAGAUUUGGUUUAAAGCAGCUCUUUAUGAGCAAAGUUAAGGAUUGAGUAUGUGAGGACAGGGCUACUCUUCAACAGCUGAAGAAGUGUUUUCAUGUACUGCAUCUUGGUCUGUUCACGAGAGAUCGGGUUUCUAGAAACCUGAUUUGGAUGCAUUGAGUACUUUUGUGGAGUUCAUGGCGAUUCUCGAAGAUAUACAUUGAUGGAGUUUAAAGCUAAAAGCACUAAAUUUUAAGGUAAAAGCACUAAAUUUGAACUGUUAGGUUCAUAAAUUUCUUGGUGGUGUUGUUAGAUUUUAAAGUUUCGUUGUAACUUUAAGCUGAAUAAGUAUUAUUAUGUAAUUUUUAAUAUCAUCUGAUUAUUGCAGAUCGAUAGUUUUGAUGUAGAAGUGAAAUCGGUACUUCUUAUUUAGAAGUGAAAUUGUCUCUGAGUUUAUUUAGAUUAUUAUGUUGAUGU